AGCUCCAAUAGUAUAUAUUAGUGUUGUUGCAGUUAAAGCGCUCGUAGUUGGAUUUUGGAAUUGUUGCUCGGGUCCUCCGAAAGGUGCGCACUCUUGCAAUUGUUCUUCCUUCUGAAGAACAUACAUACUCUUUAUUGGGUGUGUGUGCAAUUCAGGACUUUUACUUUGAAAAAAUUAGAGUGUUCAAAGCAGGCCUUAACUUGAAUACAUUAGCAUGGAAUAAUAAAAUAGGACUUUGGUUUUAUUUUGUUGGUUUUCGGAACUAAAGUAAUGAUUAAUAGGGAUAGUUGGGGCCAUCAGUAUUUCUUCGUCAGAGGUGAAAUUCUUGGAUUGAAGAAAGACUAACUUCUGCGAAAGCAUUUGGCAAGGAUGUUUUCAUUA
rnacentral:rRNA from 1 species